UUGGAGGGCAAGUCUGGUGCCAGCAGCCGCGGUAAUUCCAGCUCCAAUAGCGUAUAUUAAAGUUGUUGCAGUUAAAAAGCUCGUAGUUGAAUUUCGAGAUCAGUACGCUGGUCGUGCCUUCGGUAUGCACUGGUGUCACUGAUUUCUCCCUUCUGAAGAACCGUAAUGCCAUUCAGUUGGUGUGGCGGGGAAUCAGGAUUGUUACUUUGAAAAAAUUAGAGUGUUUAAAGCAGGCUCGCGCUUGAAUACAUUAGCAUGGAAUAAUGAAAUAGGACGUUUGAUCCUAUUUUGUUGGUUUCUAGGAUCGACGUAAUGAUUAAUAGGGAUAGUUGGGGGCAUUAGUAUUCAAUUGUCAGAGGUGAAAUUUUUGGAUUUAUUGAAGACUAACUACUGCGAAAGCAUUUGCCAAGGAUGUUUUCAUUAAUCAAGAACGAAAGUUAGGGGAUCGAAGACGAUCAGAUACCGUCGUAGUCUUAACCAUAAACUAUGCCGACUAGGGAUCGGAUGAUGUUAAUUUUUUAAUGACUCAUUCGGCGCCUUACGGGAAAC
rnacentral:rRNA from 1 species